rnacentral:rRNA from 1 species
UACGUAGGGGGCAAGCGUUGUCCGGAAUCAUUGGGCGUAAAGAGCGUGUAGGCGGUUCGGUAAGUCGGGUGUGAAAGUCCAGGGCUCAACCCUGGGAUGCCGGUCGAUACUGCCGGACUAGAGUUCGGAAGAGGCGAGUGGAAUUCCCAGUGUAGCGGUGAAAUGCGCAGAUAUCGGGAGGAACACCUAUGGCGAAGGCAGCUCGCUGGGACGUUACUGACGCUGAGACGCGAAAGCGUGGGGAGCAAACAGG